CCGCGGGGGUGGGGGCGGUCGUGUUGGGGGCCUCGCCCGUCUCCCGGGUUCCCUGAGAGCCGGACUCGAGGCUGCCACUUGGCUCCAGAGCGCGGCCAGAGUGCCGCCGCUGCCUCGGUGGGUCGCACGCCGGCGCCGACCUGGGAAAAUGACAAGGCGUCACCGGAGCGGGCCGUGACCGCCGCUGGGCAGGGGCGCACGCUCAGGACCCGACGCUGCGGGGGCGUGGGGCUGGUGAAACGCAGAGGACCGAUCCCUAGGUGAGUUCAGCACAUUCAAAGAGAGAACAGGAAAGGUGAGAAGACAAACUUCAGCGGACCAACGCUAUGACGAUCUUCCUUAAUUCUUGCAACAACAAAAGAUUCCCCGCUAAUAGACACCAUGACUUCUUGGAGAAAUGGCUGAUUUCUCCAGGUGUGACUUCUCCAUGGCUGAUCGCAUCUCAAGUCUGGAGUGAGGAAUGCGUGAGAUGAGCCAGACACAUCUUGCCACAACAGGUAGCACGACAGCAGGGACUAAAACAUUGUGUCAAAAGGACACGUGAGCCGUCUGCGAGAGGCUCCCAGUGGCCAAAUAUGGGACCAUUUGAGCUUCAAUGAAGAUUAUAAUUAUAAUGGAUCAAACCCAUCAGAUAUAUUUAAACCUUUAAUUCAUAACACUUCUUAAAACACCACCGCCUUCAGAGGAUAAGAAACAAAUGUAUUCUCUCAAAAACGGCUUCUUCAUCCUCCACAAGCCCAGAGGCAAUGGUUGUGGCUGUGACAGAUUUCCCUUAGGGCUCUAGCUCCAGAGUAAGGACACCGCGUUGUCUAAUUAGAAGGCCCCACUGACCCACCGGAAUAUAAGCUCGGGAACUUCAGAGACUGUGUCUGCCACGUUCGCUGCUGUAUUCCUGGCUUCCCCCCGCAUUUGGGAGUCACUCGCCGUGACUUCUCCGAGUGCAGGGAACCCCUGAUUCCACCCACUUCAUCGUCCUGGUAAGUGUCAAGGCACAGGGUGAGCAAGAGGAGCCCGGACCUCCCCUCACACAGCUCAUCACCGGGGCAGCGGACAUUAAAACCUCUGUGCCUUAAAUUUCCGGAAGCGGGUGGAGGUGCCUUUGUCUAGAAGGAGAAGGAGAAAGAAGGAGGAGAAGAAGGAGAAGGAGAAGGAAGGAGAAGGAGAAGGAGAAAAUGGGUUCAAUCCUAUUUCUCCCAGGUAACCCUCUUCUCC